UGUUAAAAAUUCUAAAAGGUUUUUAUCACCAAUCAAAUUAAAACGUUCCAUCCAUAUACCCAGGGCCAUGUAAAUAUGCUCUUCCUUUUUCGAUGAUAAUGAUUUCUGAUGAUGGACUGCUGAUUCUUGGACAACACAUGGAAAUUGCAACUGCAUUUCCAACCAUUUAUUUUGGCUGUUAUGCAUUCUCGCGGUUGUAUUUAGAACAUUACAUCGUUGAAAUUGUAUGGAAUUACGAUCCAGCAAUACAUCGGCACUCAAAGCCGUCAGUGUUGUAUUCCAAACAUCAAAGGUGAUGACACAAGAUACUAGAAAAGAAAACAAAGCAAUUUUGUGUCAAAUUUAAGGAAGGGUGACUAUCAGCAUAGAUUAUAUGUCUUAAAACAAAGUUAAAUGCGUGCAUCAAACCAUUUCACUGUCCCAAGUUUUAUGCAAGAACUUAAGCCAAGUUAAAAACGAUGUGCCUUACUAGGAAAAGGAGUGCAAUGUUGGUCAUCCUUUCAUUUCAUUUAUUAACCGAAUAUGUAAUAUAAAACCAAUAAGGCCCAUAAAAUAAUUACAUACAAACUUUUCAGUAUCCUGAGUAUAACAGAUAAUUAAGUUCAUUUCUUAACAUAAUGAGGUACUUUAUUAUAUUUACCUAA